rnacentral:tRNA from 1 species
GCGCUCGUAGCUCAGUUGGAUAGAGCACAUGCCUUCUAAGCCUGGGGUCGGAGGUUCGAAUCCCCCCGAGCGCGCCA